rnacentral:rRNA from 1 species
AGAGUUUGAUCAUGGCUCAGAAUCAACGCUGGCGGCGUGCCUAACACAUGCAAGUCGAGCGAGAAAAGGGGGGCAACUCCCUGAGUACAGCGGCGCACGGGUGAGUAACACGUGGGUAAUCUGCCCUGGAGUGGGGAAUAACACCGGGAAACCGGUGCUAAUACCGCAUACGAUCACGAUGUCUGCGGAUGUUGUGAUGAAAGGAGCAAUUCGCUCCAGGAGGAGCCCGCGGCUGAUUAGCUAGUUGGUGAGGUAAUGGCUCACCAAGGCAACGAUCAGUAUCCGGUCUGAGAGGACGGUCGGACACACUGGAACUGAGACACGGUCCAGACUCCUACGGGAGGCAGCAGUGGGGAAUUUUUGGCAAUGGGGGCAACCCUGACCAAGCAACGCCGCGUGGGUGAUGAAGUCUCUUGGGACGUAAAACCCUUUCGACGGGGAAGAAAACCGCAAGGUUUGACGGUACCCGUAGAAGAAGCCCCGGCUAACUCCGUGCCAGCAGCCGCGGUAAUACGGGGGGGGCAAGCGUUGUUCGGAAUUACUGGGCGUAAAGGGUGCGUAGGCGGUGCUCUAAGUCGGAUGUGAAAACUCUGGGCUCAACCCAGAGCCUGCAUCCGAAACUGGAGUGCUAGAGUUCUGGAGGGGGUAGCGGAAUUCCUGGUGUAGCGGUGAAAUGCGUAGAUAUCAGGAGGAACACCGGUGGCGAAGGCGGCUACCUGGACAGAGUCUGACGCUGAGGCACGAAAGCUAGGGGAGCAAACAGGAUUAGAUACCCUAGUAGUCC